rnacentral:rRNA from 1 species
UGGGGAAUAUUGCACAAUGGGGGAAACCCUGAUGCAGCGACGCCGCGUGAAGGAAGAAGUAUUUCGGUAUGUAAACUUCUAUCAGCAGGGAAGAAAAUGACGGUACCUGACUAAGAAGCCCCGGCUAACUACGUCGCC